rnacentral:rRNA from 1 species
GACGGAGGAUGCAAGCGUUAUCCGGAAUGAUUGGGCGUAAAGCGUCCGCAGGUGGCAGUUCAAGUCUGCUGUCAAAGACCGGGGCUUAACUUCGGAAAGGCAGUGGAAACUGAACAGCUAGAGUAUGGUAGGGGUAGCGGGAAUUCCCAGUGUAGCGGUGAAAUGCGUAGAUAUUGGGAAGAACACCAGCGGCGAAAGCGCGCUACUGGGCCAUUACUGACACUCAUGGACGAAAGCUAGGGGAGCGAAAGGG